GGGGGCGUAGCUCAGAUGGUAGAGCGCUCGCUUAGCAUGCGAGAGGUACCGGGAACGAUACCCGGCGCCUCCA
rnacentral:tRNA from 1 species